rnacentral:lncRNA from 1 species
GUGGCUCAGCAAUAACAAACCCAAUUAGUAUCCAUGUGGAUGUGGGUUUGAUCCCUGGCCUCACUCAGUGGGUUAAGGAUCCAGUGUUGGCGUGAACUGUGGUGUAGGUCACAGACAUGGCUUGGAUCAUACAUUGCUGUGGCGGUGGUGUAGGCUGGCAGCUACAGCUCCAAUUCAACCCCUAGCCUCAGGACUUCCAUACAUUGUGGGUGCGGCCCUCAAAAGACAAAAAACAAACAGAAUAGGAAUAGACCCACAGACAUAAAAAACAAACAUAUGAUUACCAAAGGAGAAGAAGAGGGAAGGACAAAUUAGGAAUUUGGGAUUAACAGAUACAUACUACUAUAUAUAAAAUAGAUAACCAACAAGGUACUACUACUAUAUAGAACAAGGAACCAUAUUCAGUAUCUUAUAAUACCUAUAAGGGAAAAAUAUGAAAAAGAAUAAAUAUAUAUGUGUAUUUAUAUAUGUAUACAACAUACACAUCCAUAUAUGUGUGUAUAAAUAUAUACUUAUAUAUAUGUAUAUAUAUAUGAAUCACUUUGCUGUACACCUGAAACUAACACAUUAUAAAUCAAUUAUACUUCAAUAAAAUUUUUUUUAAUAAAAUAAAGGACCAAAGAUGUAGAAAGAUGUGUAUAUACUGAAUAGGUGACCAGUACCGAAAGCAGUUUCAACUGUUUACAUGUCUUGGCAAGGAUAAACAUAUUCUACCUUUUUCCUCCAAUUUAUAAAGUCCUAAAGUAGACUCAACAGAUCAAUAUGUAGCAAUUAUAAAAAUGGGGUGGGAUUCCUAGAGAGAGGAAACUAGGCAAAACUCGAUAUCUUCUCAGUUUUCAAAUGUGAGCUGUCUCGUUGUGGUAGAGAAGGAAGAAAUCAUGGAAUAUUAGAGCUGGAAUGACACUUCUUAACAGGUACCUUUUCCCACACUUGGACAUUUACAGACGAAGAAAUUGAGAAUCAGAAAUGCUGAAUGGCUGGCCCAGAAUCACACUACUCAUCUUUUGCAACAUCUUGAACACAGGAUCUUUGGCCAAGAGAUGUUGCUUCCCUUGAUCGUUAGAAAUUAUCUCCAUACAUGCAGCUGGCAUUGAUCUUUUCUGUCUGCAGGCUAUACAAUAUACCUGUUUCAAUAAGACUUAAGUUGGUCAUGGGCAGGGAAGAUGGUCAUAUCAUGGACUAAGGAGAAUGAAAUUGAUAUAGUUUUCAUUUUUAUAAAAUGUUUCACCUCUGUACCUGUUGGGCCUUAAGACGUUACGAACUGUUUAAUCCGUUGCUCUUUUUACCAAAUCAAUGUAGUAGAGAGAAUGGAGCCCUCAUCAUGAAAGACAGGCAGCUCUGAUUUACAUUCUGGAUCUGCCUAGGCUUUAAGACCAUGAUCAGGAAUUUAGUCUUUUUGAAUCUCAGCCACUUUAUCAGUAUGAUGAAGGUAAUGCUACCUAGCUUGGUGGACUGUUGCUUUAUUCAUUGAAUAAGUAUAUGUUAAAUCCCUACUACAUGCCAAACGUUCUUCUUAGUGCUAGUAGAGAGUCAGAAAACAAAUGUUCUACCAUACCUUCCAGGGGGCAGGAUGGGCACAAGGAAGGAUUAAAUAAAUAUCUGCAGUGGCUCUUGGCCUAGAGAGCAUGCUCAAUAAUUUUCAUUUUGCAUUUUCUACUCUAUUCUCUUACAAAAUCAAGCCUUAACAUCAGGAGGAUCUUUACUCCCAAGUUUCAGUAUAGAGAACAGAAAAGCAUAUAAAUUGCUAAGGAUGGGACUUUGCACAUUUCAAAAUAACCAACUACAAACCAAAACAUUUUUUCCUCUGUGUCUAGCCAGAACAAAAGAGGUGAUGUCAAACAAAAAGAUAAGUGCACAAGCACCCCCACUCCACACUUCCCAUGACAACACGCGCAGUCUCUUCCUCAUAAAAUACAGAAACCACCCCAACACUGCUUGUAUUUCAGAAUUUUCCCAUGGCUCCUGGGAAAAUAUCACAGAUAUUUUCUCUGUCAUUGUUUCUUCACAUAACAAUUAUAAGGCAGAGUAAGCUUCUUCUACCUCUAAUUUCCUCCACACUGGGAGUGAAGUUGGGGGUAGGUGAUUAAUCAAGAAAUAAAUUCUUAUAUCUUCUUUUGAUCAUCACCUCUGAAAGAGAGAAAAGAUUUUAAGCAGAAUUAGGCUGCGGGGAGGAGAUCUUGAAGGCAUUCAGGAAAACUAUCAAGAGAAUCAUUUACUUUGUUUCCCAGAAGAGAAUGAUUUGUUGAUAAUUGGGGGAAGAAAAGAGAAUCAACACCUUGCUGGGCCUCUUAUAUAUGCUAUUUCAUUUAAUCCUCACAACAUGCAAUGCAAUAAUAAAAAUAAUAUACAAUUGGCCCCUGAAUGCACACAAAUAAGUAUAAUCUUAGAUUAUGCAUCUUUUUGCCCCUCUUUGACUAGGAAGCCGAUAUUUUUCCACUGCGUCAUACCACUGUGAAGUUCAUCAUACCCUGUUAGCAGCUGUCAUACAGGUCUGAAAGUGUUUGCCUGAGCUGUUUCACUUCAAUCCAAAGGAUACUUUAGUAUGAUGUCCAGCUAUUUGAUGUGGAAACACCUCCCUAAGAUAACACCAUAGGGUAAUACAGAGGAUUUUAGGUAAAUGUCCUCAGACAUCUAUUUCAGGCCUGCUAAUAACUGGCUGCAUGGCAUGAUUUAGGCAAGUCACAUGAUCUCACUGGGCCUUGGUUUCCUCACCUCUGAAACUGACUCCAUUUCAGUUUCACCCUUGUAACUCAGCAAACCCACAUUCUCAAGGGAUGUGUGUGUAUGUAUUUAAAUUAGUUUUACUUUGGGAUAUCUGACUGCCUCACUCUUUUCAAAUACUAAAAUUCUCACAAAAGUAGAAUUCUACUCUCUAAUAUACACAUAUAUUCUAAAAUCUUCCCAUAUGCACCUGUCAUUGGCACCUGCUCCAGGUGAGGUACUCCAGGUGAGGUGCUGCUCCAGGUGAGGUGGGAUAGGAAACAGGUCCCUGGAGUUCUGCAUCUCCUCUUUCAGAACCCUGAAUCCUUAAUUAUGGGAAUGCUGUCUCUUCCCUAGUAUCUUCUUUCUCUGCCCUCCUCCCUCAUCAUCACUAAUCAUACCUCCUCUCAGUUGCCUGAGAUGGCUAACCCUGGGCUAAAUUAUUUGUGAAAAUUGUUACCUUAUACUUUACAUGCUCUAAUAGUAGAAACCAGGGACUAAUUUUCAACUGCAGUUUCAGGCUGUCGCAGAAGAGAGGGCUGUGGUGGAGGAUGGGGAAUUAAUUUCAGGGUAUUCAAGCUUUCUAAACAGCCCAUAUCCUAUGGAUGACAACAACAAACAUUCAUGAACUUAAUGACUAUAAAGCCCAACAGAAUGCCUGGCACAUAGUAGGAACUGAACACAUGGUAAAUCUGCAUAGUCUUCCUCUGCAAGUCAGUUUUGCAUGUUAUAUAAUCUGCUCAGAUCCCUGGUAAGCUUGUCCUCUUUUACAAUCCCCUUGAAGUCUUUGAAACCUGGGACAACGUUUUACCUAAUAUAUUAGUUCUACAAAUGGACCAUUGUUCUCUUGCCUUUUCUUUUAUCUUUCUCAGGCUCCUGCUAAUCCCUCAUUUUAUUUCUCCAUUGCUGUAUUUUCUGUCCUUCCUCCUUUGGAAUAUGUACCUUUUACAUAGACAGAAUUGCCACCUCCUAAUAUUCUUAUUAUCCAGCCCACCUUGCUUGUGGCCAUGGGGUAAAGUAAAUUCUCUGGCUCCGGAGCAAAUCUCGUAAUGUGCAGAAACACCGCACCCGAGGCAAGGAGAGAAUUUAAUACAUUUUCUAAUCUCUUCUUCCCCUGUGCCCCUCCUCUGUUUUCUCUUGUAUCAAAGUACUGAGAGUCAGACAAUCUUUUUUUUUUUUUUUUUUUUCCUUUCUGUUUUCUUUCCUCCUGCCUUGUUUUAUUUUGUUGGCUUGGGGAAGAGGGAGAAGCAGGGAUAUAUGAUGAAAGAGCCUGACAGUCUGAAAGCAGGGAAGCAGCGAGGGGUGGGCAGGAUUGAGGAGCCUGCUACUGGACGCCUGCCCACUCCCUGGCACUCUCCCACUUCUGUGAAGCCUAUUUAUUGACUUUUCUUUAAGAAUGAAGUCAACUGCCUGUGGUUUUAUGGCCCUCCUCCCCACAUCUUUGUCUUCCUGAUGUCCAGAGCUUGUUUCCCCCUCUGCUUUUUCUUACUUUCUUCCUCUUUUCCUAGAUAACUGCCCUCCCUCUUCUCUAGCUAUGACUUCUUUCCAGGACAGACAGCAUAAAAACUCUCCAUUUCCUAAAAGGUGAGCUAAUUAUAAAUUAUAAUAAAACAGAAAAUGUGCUGUACAAAAUCAGGUGGGUUUUUUUUCAUUUUCACAUUUCAUCUAACUCUUGAAAAACACUGUGACAUACAUAUUAUUGUCAUUCCCAUUUCGCAGGUGCCUCACAUUGUGUUGAACUACUAGUAUCCUGAUUCCUGAUAAUAUGCCCUUUGUGCAAAAUUUGACUGUCUUUCCGUUUUCACAUAUAUUGAUCUUUCCCUUCUCUGGUUUAUUUUAGUACUUGUGCCAGACUGUAUAUAAUUUAAUGUUUAAUUAUAUACCAUCUAGGGCUAUUCUAAAAGUACUUCAAAAUCACUUCACAUGUAUUAGUUUGUUCUGUCUAAUAAGAUCAUUGGCUACAGGAAGAUGGGCAUUCUCUCCUAUGGUUAUCUUGUUUUUGUUGGAGUUUCUGGCUCAGUAUCAAAGUUGUAUAUGCUUAAUUAAUCCUUUUGACUGGUUGAUUUAAAUCCAGAAAAAAAAUUUAUCCUAAUUCAACAAAUUUUGUAUCUACUUAUAUGUCUAGAAGUGUGUCUAGGUGGUACUAGUAAUAAUGAUGGUAACUAUGCUUAUUUUUCAUAAACUGCGUCAUCUUAAGUCCUCCAUGAACGCCAUGGAUGCUUUUACUGUGAGGAUUCCCAUUUCACAGAUGGUGGCCAUGAAGCAGACAGUGGCAAACCCACUUCUGCUUGUGCUGCCCUUGUCAAGGUGAAUGGAGACUGACAUCCUUGGGAAUGCACAUCACACUCUAUUUUGUAAAUGUGAACUAGUCAUGUAAGCUACAGAAAAAUUUGCUCAAGAGUAAAUAAGAUUUUUCUUAACCAAGUCGAAUGUUCAGAACAUCACUAAAAAUCUGGGAAAGCUGAAUGCUGUUGUGUUACACUAUUUGCCUUCUGUAUAGUGUGCUAUUUUUUUUUUUUUUGAACUUUCUAGUUUUUUUCUAGCAGAAAUGAUAUAAAGGGAAAGUAAAGAGCUGGCUUGGAUGUUUUUCCUAUGAUAGGAGGAGUACCUCUUAAAGGAGGAAACAGGUGGUGAAGUGCUUCUUCUCUUCCUUACCCUUACCUGACUCCUUAUUUUUCCUCCGUCUUCCUAGUUGGCAAGAGAGUCUGGCUUUCAUGCACAAGAUUUACAGGAAAUGUUUCUUCCUUAGCUGAAGAAAUAUUUAGACAGCAGCAGAGACAGACUCGAAUCCCCCACCCACGGCAGACCUUCUGGUCUGUUCUAGUCUUUCACAUGAGAAAGCUGAAGCAUGAAGGGUGUUUUUCAAUUUUUUAAAUUAUUUUUAAUAAUACCCUCUUCCUUGGAGACUGACAGUCUUAUUUUUUUUUUUUUUUUCUCUUCACUAGCUUGAGUUUUGCAGAAUUGUGUCAUUUAUUCUUCUUUUCCUCUUUUUUGAGGGCAGGUAGGAAGUCCCAUUCAGGGUUAUCACCCAUGUGUCUUUUAAAAGAGUCAGUGGCACGAAGAUGCAAAGCUUGCCUCACAGUCUAACUGGGAAGCAGUGGUAAAAGAAGGAAUGCUUUCAGGACAGUGAGUUUAUUGUUUGUCUCAAAACCAGGUCAGUAUGUAAUACAGCAAACAUAAAACAUGCAAACAAAACACACAAAAUGAUCAUCAAGAAAAACAAAACUAUAUCCCAUAAAAGAGAAUAGGAAGGAAAGAUUGGGGCACAUGUACAGUGCAGGGAUUAUUUUGGUGAUUUGAGCUUUCUUAAACACAGAAAAGUGCUACCCUUUGUCCUUGGAGUAGGUUGCUAGGAUAAGCAAUGCCUUCCAUGAGCUUGUUAGGAAUGCAUAACCCAGGAGUACCUGUUGUGGCUCAGUGGAAAUGAAUCUGACUGGUAUCCCUCACUCAGUGGGUUAAGGAUCCGGCAUUGCUGUGAGCUGUGGUGUAGGUCUUAGAUGUGGCUCAGAUCUUGCAUUGCUGUGGCUGUGGUGCAGGCCAGCAGCUACAGCUCCAAUUCAACCCCUAGACUGGGAACCUCCAUAAGCUGCGGGUGUGGCCCUAAAAAGACAAAACAAACAAAC